GGAACACCCAUAUGGUUCCUGUCCUGAAGUAGCAGCUCUAUAAUAAGAAGAAUAGCGAGACACAAUUCUACAGAGAUAUAGCUUGAGAAAGCCCUGUUUAUAUUUGUCAAUAUCUGACGUCUUGAAUUGUCAGAAUGCCAGCUGAAGCCAUGUAUGUAUUCAUGCUUGCCUGGAGGAGAUAAUGGUAGAGAGCCUGAGCUGUAGAAAGAAGG